rnacentral:rRNA from 1 species
AUUGAACGCUGGCGGCAGGCUUAACACAUGCAAGUCGAACGAUGACUCUCUAGCUUGCUAGAGAAGAUUAGUGGCGGACGGGUGAGUAACAUUUAGGAAUCUGCCUAGUAGUGGGGGAUAGCUCGGGGAAACUCGAAUUAAUACCGCAUACGACCUACGGGUGAAAGGGGGCGCAAGCUCUUGCUAUUAGAUGAGCCUAAAUCAGAUUAGCUAGUUGGUGGGGUAAAGGCCCACCAAGGCGACGAUCUGUAACUGGUCUGAGAGGAUGAUCAGUCACACCGGAACUGAGACACGGUCCGGACUCCUACGGGAGGCAGCAGUGGGGAAUAUUGGACAAUGGGGGCAACCCUGAUCCAGCCAUGCCGCGUGUGUGAAGAAGGCCUUUUGGUUGUAAAGCACUUUAAGCAGGGAGGAGAGGCUAAUGGUUAAUACCCAUUAGAUUAGACGUUACCUGCAGAAUAAGCACCGGCUAACUCUGUGCCAGCAGCCGCGGUAAUACAGAGGGUGCGAGCGUUAAUCGGAAUUACUGGGCGUAAAGCGAGUGUAGGUGGCUCAUUAAGUCACAUGUGGAAUCCCCGGGCUUAACCUGGGAACUGCAUGUGAUACUGGUGGUGCUAGAAUAUGUGAGAGGGAAGUAGAAUUCCAGGUGUAGCGGUGAAAUGCGUAGAGAUCUGGAGGAAUACCGAUGGCGAAGGCAGCUUCCUGGCAUAAUAUUGACACUGAGAUUCGAAAGCGUGGGUAGCAAACAGGAUUAGAUACCCUGGUAGUCCACGCCGUAAACGAUGUCUACUAGCCGUUGGGGUCCUUGAGACUUUAGUGGCGCAGUUAACGCGAUAAGUAGACCGCCUGGGGAGUACGGCCGCAAGGUUAAAACUCAAAUGAAUUGACGGGGGCCCGCACAAGCGGUGGAGCAUGUGGUUUAAUUCGAUGCAACGCGAAGAACCUUACCUGGUCUUGACAUAGUGAGAAUCCUGCAGAGAUGCGGGAGUGCCUUCGGGAAUUCACAUACAGGUGCUGCAUGGCUGUCGUCAGCUCGUGUCGUGAGAUGUUGGGUUAAGUCCCGCAACGAGCGCAACCCUUUUCCUUAUUUGCCAGCGGGUUAAGCCGGGAACUUUAAGGAUACUGCCAGUGACAAACUGGAGGAAGGCGGGGACGACGUCAAGUCAUCAUGGCCCUUACGACCAGGGCUACACACGUGCUACAAUGGUAGGUACAGAGGGUUGCUACACAGCGAUGUGAUGCUAAUCUCAAAAAGCCUAUCGUAGUCCGGAUUGGAGUCUGCAACUCGACUCCAUGAAGUCGGAAUCGCUAGUAAUCGCAGAUCAGAAUGCUGCGGUGAAUACGUUCCCGGGCCU